GGCCGAGGGCUCCCCGCGACGCCCACCCUGGGUGACCUCCACCUUGGCCGCCAUCCUCAUCUUCACCAUCGUCGUGGACCUGCUGGGCAACCUGCUGGUCAUCCUCUCCGUCUACCGCAACAAGAAGCUGCGGAACGCGGUGGCUACGGGCUGGGACGAGGUGCCGAGGGCGUCGUGUUUCGGUGAUCGAGCGAGUAAAGGUAUUUUUAGCGGCCAUCACCGAAUCGCCGUGCUAUUUUUAGCUCUCGACAGUUCCCACCUAGCAAUAAAAAAAACCCAGAGGAGUACUAAGCCUUAUUUAAGAAUGAAAUUAGACGCGGUGCCGGGGCUGCUGCUGUGGCAAACAGCGUGUGUCCGUGCAUGCUGGAGGCUGUUCUUCUGAUCAAUUUUCUUUUGAGUUACAGAAAUGUCUUCAGUACAAAUACGAAUGUCGGAGCUUCAAAAUCAAGGAAAUAUUAAGUUACAGACGUUGCAGAAUUCAGAAAAUAAAUAAAUAAAUAAAACAAAAAAGAAAACCCAAUACAGUCAUUUCAUUUUCUUUGUUCACCUCCUAUUUACUGUCUAGGUCUUUGGGGAAUGGGAAACAUUUGACAGAAAGCAGCUUAAGCGUGUUCAUAAAAAUAAAAUCUCUAAUUUAGACAGGAUAGAUUCUGUGAUGGUCUAUUGAGUAAAUCCCUCUUUGAUUAUUGGUCAGACCGGCAGGAACUUCUUCAGAUUCAUUCUGCUUUAUCAUGUCAGACCAGCUGCUGCGCACGUGUACCAAAUCUGUGCAUGAAAAACUCUAUGCAUUUUUCAUUGAAAGAAAUGCGGGAGCAUGUGAAGAGAGCUUCAUUAUUAGCAAAAGCAGAAUUUUGCUCCAUGAUGAUUGAGAUGCCGCUUCCAUUUUUUUCACAACUGGCAGUGAGGUUCUUUGUUAUAACUACUAAAUUCAAUAGCUAGUGGUUUAAAAUUCAUCUGAGGAGCCACUUGAGCCCAGGCUUUGCUAUAAACUAGUUUAAUAAAAGUAGCUAGUAUUGGUAGCUGGCGAAGAAUAGCAUACUUAACUUUCUGAGGUUAAGUCAGGUAAUGCAAAUGGAUUGUGCAUUUCGGUUUUAUUAAGCUUUAGUGGAAUGUCAACACACAGGAUCGAAGUGGAAGACAACAGAUUUUUAUUUUUUUUUUUCUCCUCCCUACAGUUACCACUGUUGUAAAUUCUGAGCUAUAUUCUCUUUUCACUUUCAUUGAUAGAAAUUCAGAAAUUUCAUUCAUUGGAGCUGGCAGGGUUAUACACUGUAGCACUAUAGGUUUGAGAGGAGAAUCAGACUCCAGAACACCAAAUUGGCACUUGACUACCUUUGUUCCCUGGAAGAUUUUCAGAUGGAGGGAGAAAGGGUUGAGAUAGGUGUAUUAUUGGGUUUAUUCCAGGCGAAAGGGUGGUAUUCUCCUCCUCCUUGAUUACUGUAUGUGUACUCAGCACUUCUUUGGGGAGUUUGCAACACAGACAUGUCUGGUAAUAAGUCUGAGAUAAAUGUGGUGCCUGUUUUCUGGAAACGUAACUGAAUCAUUGGGCUCUAUGUGUGCACGUGUUCUCUACUGUAGAUCCCUCACGUAAUCCCUCUUGAAUUCCAACACAUGCUCACUUGCUCAGUCUUACUACAUUUCUUGGUUUUGCCUUUUCUGUCACAAUGACUAUUAAGAACUGCAGCAAACUGGCAACAGUUAUCUCCUACAGCUAGGAGGAUAGAGCUUUCUUCUGCGCAUAAAUUAUUUUAGACUGUACCAUGAAAUAGAUACUAGUUUACACUCAACGUAAAGGUUAGUUAAAACAAGUAGAUACUUGGUACAAGAUAGCAAACAGUGUACAGUCUGUUUUAGGAAAAAAUAGUAACAAUAAGUCUUUAAAGUUUUAAUUUUUUUCAUCUUCAAAGUGAUUUUUUUUUUUAGUACAUAGAAAAAAAAACUGGAAAGAACAUAAUUAGUAAGCUUCGAAAAAGUGUGCAAAUGCUGUUGGCUGAUCCUACAAAAAACUGCUUGGGCAUAACUUCACUUAUGUGAGCACCACUAUUAAACUCAGCACUGAAUUAAGAAGGGGUUACUCUGGUAAGUAAAUUUAUGACAAGGCAUAAGGAUUUGGAAAACUCUAGCCUAACAUUUGUGAGUAUGACCGACAGAGAGUUUCCUAAGUCUUGUUUACACCAAUUCAGAUUAUUCAGGAAGAGAUUACAUUGAAAAAUAAUUUGAUUUAUGCAUACAAUUAAUUUAUAACAUGCAAAUUAUAAACACAGUUACAAAUUUUACAGAGCUGUACUAAGAAAGAAACUUCUGGUUUUACAACAACCGAUGUUAAUAAAUCAUUUGCUGGCAUAUUUGUUAAGCAAAAAGGAUAUAGGAUGAAAAGUCCACUGGAAAAAGGUCAGGGAGGAACAGAAGACACCUCCUGAAGAAAAUGUAUCUCACUGAAGACUUUCUUCCUUCUUUGCAAGAGAGAACUAACAGAAAUAAGGAGUAUUUAACACUUUACCAAAAAGGUGGAUUUGGUGGGGGAAAACAUCUUGCAUCUCAGUCCCACUGUUUAUUAUGUAAAUACUUUCGGAAGAUAACUACAAAUUUAACGUGUGGAUUUAUGAUUAAAAAAGUGCAUUGGGGAAUAGUAGGAAGGUCUAGAAAAACCUUCUCGACAAAUGAUGUAACGUUCCUGACAGUCAGAAUGUUAGUAAAAGACACUGAUCAAAGCAGAGGAGUCAGUAUCUCAAAGAAGUUUGUCACAGCAAUCGAACAGUGUCUGAUACUACAGACUCCUCCAUAGUCACAAGCAUGGCUUCAGUAGAUGCUCUUCUAGACACAGAAGCUGAUGAUACAACUGGUAGGAUCCUCUUUUAUUUAAUGUGUUUGACUUAUAAUAAGUUUCAUAGUUCUGGUCUCUGAUUUUUUGGUUUGGUUUGUUUUGUUUUUUUUUUUUUAUGGUGGUUUUGUAAUCUAGCAGGCACCUAACACCAAUUCAGUUCUGGUGGGAACAGCUGCAAUUUAAUGUUGGCCUACAUGAAGACUGAAUUUGGUUAAUGAUGUCUGUGACCUUUUAACUUUGAAACAAAGUUCAAGGGAAACAUUCAAGGCAUAAGGAUUUUAAUGCCCAUAUCCUGAUAGUACAUUUAUGCAGCGCGAAAUUUAAACUGAUGUGCUUUCUUUAAUAACUAAUUUUAAAAAGAAUGAGACUAUCUCGUUUUAAAAAUAUGUUUAGUGUAAAUAAUCCUAGUGUGUCUCAUUUUCCAUUGCUAGUAUUCAUAGAUGAGUCAUAAGAUCAUUCAGCAGAAGUUCCACCCCAAAAAGAUGAAAUAACUAGCCUUAGGGUAGGUGGAUUAAGGAAAUACUUGUACUUUUUUGGUUGUGGUUUUUUUUUUCACUUGAAACUAUUCUUAUUGGAUUAGAGCACCCCAGAAAACUGAAAGGAUCAUUUGACAUGAUUUGUGUAGCAUUACACAGUAAUUCAGUGAUUGCUUGUAUCCUUAUGCCUUUGUUGUUACCCCUACCAAGAAAAACAAUGCAUCAAGAACAAGGUGAGGGAGUAGUUGAAUCUCUUUGGCUGUGCAAAUCAAUUUACUGCUUGUGACAUUAAAAUGUCAGUUAUCCUGCACCUAUUAUUUUGGUGACAAGGGGAUUUGGAUACUCAGGUGUUGCAGGACUUGACCGUUCAUAAGGCCAAUGAAGAAAGCUAUUAUCCCUCUUGCUCUUUCUCUUCCUUUUGAAACUGUUCACUUGGCCUGGUGGGUUGCAUUUUCCUGGGCACUCUAUGUGCUGAGGUACAAAGAUGCCCUGACUAGCCUUCCAACAGACCCCCGGGUUGGAAGAGAGCCUCCAGCAGACAAGAAGAGUGCCCGAGCAGCCUCACCCUCGCUUUUCUGUGCCUGUCCUGCUUGCUAACACCUCACACAAGUUGGGGUAACACAGGGACUGGUGUCAGGCUGGUAACUAGCGCCUACUCCAGCAGGGCAGAAAGCUGCACUACCCCCUUCUCACCAGUCUCUGUUCUAUGCUAGAUGCAUUUGGGUUUUUAGACUUUUUCCCAGUUUCUCAUACUCUUAGCCCAAAUGUUUUGUGGAUAAAACUCAUUUUUGUUACUAGUGAAGAAGUCUGUCAUUGCUGAGGCUCCAGGGCCAUGGAGUGGCAAGAUACAGCUGACUUCAUUAGGACUGCACACAUGCUUAAAUAUAAGUAUGUGUGUUAACUACUUUCUGAGUGAGAAGACAAUGAAAAAGAGAAAAAACAGUGUUCACAUGCUAAAUCUGCCUCAGCUGCAUUAGAUCCAAACAGUUCUGUAUAGACAGCUCUGUGUGCGCUCAAAAGAAUAAUGAAGUAAAGUGUAAUCCUCGACUAAAAUCUGUAAGAUCAGUGAAGUCACUUAUGGAAGAACCAAGAAACACACUACUUAUGAUUUGUUUUUUUUUUAAAGACAAUAUUUAUUAAUUAGUACAGCCAUUGUAGAAAUGGGAUAUGGGACCUAUUGGUAAGAAUUUUGUUUUGGAGGCUUUUUGAACUGGCCCUGGGUUUUGCAUUAGUGUAUUUUCUAGAAGGUGAAUUUUAAAUAUAAGAAUGUAACUGUCGCUUGAUAAUCAGAUUGGAAAUCACAUCAGCCUUUUCAGAAUGUGAUUGUUCUUGAUGAUGUUUUGGUUUUUUAGUUUUAAAAUUAUAAUAUUAAAUGCUCUAUUGAAUUGUUUUAUUUAAUUAAUGAAACUCCCGUUGUGAAUUAAGACUAAUGGAGUCAUUGUUUUUGUCACAGGUGAUCCUUGGACUUCUUUCUGUGCCUCAAGAGAAAGCAAGUAGCUCGACAAAUAUUUGACUCAAGGGAAAUAACUUGUAGAAGAUCGAGUUGUAGCACAAAUUCAGGGUUCUCAUGAAAACUAAGAUGUUGAUGGCAAUGAACAUUAUUUCAGACAUGAAUAACUUCCAGUAUUAGAAAUGGUAAGCUGUUUGGGAGAAGGAAAAUAUCUAGUUGAGAUGCUGAACUUUGCCAGUUGCUGAACAGAACUAAGCAUAAAAAUAUAGUUUAUUCUGAAUAAAGCUUUUCCUCAGACUGGUUUUGAUUGAAUAGUUUACUGAAUCAAAAGUUUACUUCAGAAACCUGUUUAAAAGACGUUGUGCUGUGAGUCAUCAAAGGUAGAAAUGAGUAUUUCAAAUAAUUAAUACAAUAUUCUUAGUAAUUUAUCUGUCAAACUCAGAUAUUCUUUCCUUAAGAUUCUGCAUUCUAAAGUUUUUAGAGGGUCUCCUUUUUUAUGUUUUGCUGCAGCUAGCAGUCAACAGUACUGAUAAGCUAUAUUACUUGCUGUCUAUUUUAGGUUAUUUUUUGGAGGGAUUCUCCAUUUUUUUUGUCAAGAUUUUUUUCAUCUUUAAUAUUUUUGUUAGCAUUUUCUGAUCUGCUUCUACUCUUAUUGCUUUUCUUUUUCUUUUUCCCCUAGCUGCUUUCCUAUCUUGUUUUAACAUAGAUACUUCAUAUCUUUCUAGUAUAAGACAUCGUCAGAAAGUCUAGUUUAGUGACAGAAAAUGCUGCCAACAAUAGGCAUCCAAUGCUGAUAUGACAAUGUCUGUUCUGUUUGUACAAUGAGGCUUGCUUCCCUAGGGCCAUAAAAAUGUUGCAGUGUCAAUUCAAUGCUAUGCAUCACAGUUUAAUUUUGCAACCUCAGUAAGAACCUUGUCACCCUUGCUGCUGGCAGUUUUUUAUCUACUUGCAUUCAUAACCUGCCUCAAAUUCCAUAUUUUCCUCUCCCAAGAAACAAUUACAAACCUCUGUUUCAAGAGGACAAGUGUUACCAAGAAUUCUUCAGGAUAAUAGAACACAAUUUGCUAAUGUUUCAAUGCUCACUUGUUUAAUGAACAAGUAAACAUGUAUUUAACAUGGGUUUGCUUUUGGGGUGCAGAUGCGAGGUUUACAAAACUAAUUGGUCUUCAAGGAGAUAUUAGAAGCAGAUGUGGCCUGUCCCUGUGCUGACAGAGCUGAGCUCCUCCCUUGAUUCUUCAUAGAAUCAUAGGAUGGUUUGAAUUGGAAGAGACCUUAAAGAUCAUCUAAUUCCAACCCCCAUGCCGUGGGCAGGGACACCUCCUACUAGAUCAGGCUGCCUAAGGCCCCAUCCAACCAGGCCUUCAGCACUUUCAAGGAUGGGGCACCCACAACUUCCCUGGGCAACCUGUGCAAAUGCCUCACUACCAUCAUCAUGAGGAAAUUCCUUCUUAUGUCUAGUCUAGUCUCUCCCCAGCUUUCUUGUAUGCCCCCUUCAGGUACUGGAAGUACAGGAGAUGCUAUGUUACAUCUCUGAACCUUCCUUGAAUCUCUGUUACUGAAUUAGUUCUCACUUAAGACAAAGGAUUUUAAAGAGACCUUCUCAAUUGUGAAAUCCAGUUUCCAGGUGUAGGAGGUGUCCGUACAAAUCCUUCCAGAAUCACCCUUCAGCUUAGGUUAUGGGGUUUUUUCUUACUCCACAACUCAAGAAGGGCAUUCUCACUGCCUAAACGGAUUUUCUGUCAGUUUAUGUUUCUGCUGUUGUACCAAUGUUACUUAACAUCUCUCUAUUGUAAUGAAUGAGAAUAAAAGCAUCAUGUCUUAGCUGUCAUUUUACUAGUCAAAAAAAGGUGGAUAUCAAAUUCUAUUAGUCUGCUAACAAAAUAACCUUUCUCAUGCAAGAGAGCGCUACCUCAGGAGUAUGCCUUAUCUCUGGAAAUACCUUCCCUAAAAGUGAAAUCCUGGUUUUACUGAAAUCAAUAGCAAACCUUUUGCCAAGGUCAGCGCCUGUCUCCUCUCACUUUUUUUGGCUGCUGUCUUUGCCUAUGAGUAAGAAGGAUUCUAUACUGCUAACAAUCUUAAACUCAACAUGCAGAAAGCAGAAGUGUCUUUACCAUAACUUUGGAGUCGGAACAGGAUUUUCAUUAGGUUACUGAUAUCCUUGCAACAAAGCUGAUUACAGAUCAGAAUCCUAAGUCCUCUGUAUCCUGAGGUACGUGCAUCACAAGAAGCCACUUACAAUUUCAUGUAUAGUAGGUAUGCAAGCUGUUAAGUCUGAGAAUUGAUGCUUCAAGAACAUCCCUGGGAAUAAAGAAAACACAAGAGACCACCUCCUGCUGCAGUGCUGUCCUUUCUAGGGUUUGGGUUUGUUUGGUUUUUGACAGAUGGAAAUUAUGUUACUUAGGUCAAGGACAGCUUGUUUGUACUAGAGUUGUCUGGUUAGAUCACAUCAGUUUAUCCUUGAUAUUUUCUUUGUCCUUUUUUGUUUUCUAGAAACUCGUGGCUCUUUGAUAUGUUCAUUAGGCAGAAUAAAUGUCACAAUUGGAGUUUUGCUCCUACAGCCCCAUUGUACAGAAUGUCUAGUGGUUUGGUUGCGAAAUAUGGCAUCAUCACAUAUAUGUGUGAUGUUUCUUUAGAAAUUUCUAUUAUCAACCUGAUAUUUGACUGCUAUCUUUUCACCUCUCAUUUUGUUUGUUUUUUUUUUUUUUUUAUUUUAUCUUGCCUGGAGAAUUGUACUGUUGAGAGUCUCUUCAGUGCCUCAUAAAUCCAUCUUAGUCUCCCUUUGUGAUGAUGUAACCCAUUUCAACACCUGUUGCUAAGGAUUUUCUUAGCUUUGGCAGUUUCGGGGAUAUACAGCUACACAUUUAUAUUUAAGCAUACAUAAAUUCUACUGGUUUUCAUCAUGUUGCAGAAAGUACUCCUACCAAAGCUUGUUUCAUUUUGUGAUAUACUUUAUACUUUUAUUAUUUUGUGGUGUAUUUUUAUACUUUUUAUUAAUGCACCUAGAAACAUUUCUUCUAAUUAUCUGGGUGUUUUUGCAGAAAGUACUUUUUCUUUGUGCUUCUUUUUCUAAUGCCACAUCCACUGGCACAUUGUAACUCAUGUUUUUGUAUAUUGCUUGUGAAUAUACACACUCUAGAAAUGAGGAUCUCUCAUAUGUAGGAGAAUGAUAUUCAGCAUGU